rnacentral:rRNA from 1 species
GACGAACGCUGGCGGCGUGGAUUAGGCAUGCAAGUCGAACGGUAUCAUCCUUUCGGGGGUGAGAGAGUGGCGAACUGGUGAGUAACACGUAGGUUAUCUACCCUCAAGACGGGGACAACCCAGGGAAACUUGGGCUAAUACCGGAUGUGAGCAACUUUUAGUUGUUUGAAAGGUGGCGUAAGCUGUCGCUUGGGGAUGAGCCUGCGUCCUAUUAGUUAGUUGGUGAGGUAACGGCUCACCUAGGCAAUGAUAGGUAGGCGGCCUUAACGGGUGGUCGCCCCACACUGGGAUUGAGAUACGGCCCAGACUCCUACGGGAGGCAGCAGUCGAGAAUAGUCUACAAUGGUCGGAAGACUGAUAGUGCGACGCCGCGUGAACGAUGAAUCCCUUCGGGUGUAAAGUUCUUUUAUAUGUGAGCAGUGCUUCUUAUAUUAACAGUAUGGGGAGAGAGAUAUUAGCAUAUGAAUAAGCAACGGCUAAACUCCGUUGCCAGCAGCCGCGGUAAACACG